AAAUGCUUGUACUGUAAGUGGAGCUCUAGGAAGUCUCUCUCUUUUAGGGAAAUCAAGUUUCUCUAAGCCAUAGAAGACUCUAAGACUAUUACUGAGUGACUACAGAAUCCAGUUAUUUCAACUGAAUUGCAGCUCUCAGGGUUUGACUUCAACUGUGACUGCAUGUUACAAAUCAUAUGGUAUGCACAAUGCAAGCAAAAAAAAAAAAUCAGUAACAGUGAGAUGGAAAAAACCUUAGAGAAGUAAAUUUCUAUGAACAAGUUGCCGUUAAUAGUGCUAUCCAAAUUAACUUUCUGAGUGCUGCCCUUUCCAGCUAUGAAAAAAAAAAAAGAAAAAAAAAAAAACAACAAAAACUAACAUUCCCAGAAAAAUGUCAGUAUAAACUCCCUUUAUUAACCUGGCUGUCACUUUGGCUCCCUGGGUCUCUUUGGCUCUAACCCACUAGAGAAUGGUUCCCACUGUAAUCAUCGGCAGUGAGGAAUUAAGCCUCAAUGAAUCAGGUGAGCUUCAACAGUGUUCUAGCAUUUCUGAAUUUAAAAGGUCACCAAAAUUGCUAAUGCUUAAUCUAGCCACAUCAGUAAGGAAAGAAAAAUGUUUUGAAGGAAAGCACUAAAUUAUUCAAAAAACCCCUGACAAGAAUAGCAAUAUUCAUAAAUGGAAAAUAUCUGUUAACUCAUUAUAUAAUUCUGUGGCUGAAAAUCUUUGAUAGAAAAUGUCCUUUUUUACUAAAUGUAGUCUGUGUUUGAUUCUGUUAUUCAUUUGAAUUAGUCUUAGUAAGUCUUGGAGGUUUUUUUCCUUGCUUUUAAAAUUGAUAAAAGAAGAUUUAUUUGUGAAAAGCAGAUGUUGGGAUUAAUUGUUCUAUUUAAUUAAUCAGAUAUUUAAGGUUUGGUAUAACCUAAUCUGCAAAGAAAAUAUUUUUAUCUGUUAAGUUUCCUGAUGUAAAAUACCUCUUGCAUUUUUGUUAACAGUUGUCAGAUAAAAGAGGGUAGUUUCUUACCCAUGACAUUUAUAAAAUACUAAUUCUGCCCUCUUAUUUUAUAUAAAAUUCAUUUAUAUUUACUUAGUACAGAGUUUGUAUUCAUUUAUAAUACUAAGUAGAAAUAAAUAAAACAGGUAAGGAACUUGUUAUUCUAUCAUUUAUUCUAUAAAUUACGUAGAAAUGGAUCAAACAAUUGAAAUGAAAAUAUUUACUGUUGAACAUACUUUUAUUUUUUUUGUUUAACUUAUAAACAACAUACUCAAAGAAAAGUAGAAAGGGGAAAGAGAACUGGAAGGGUAAUUGGAAGACAAAGUGAUUUCUUAGGUCAGAUUUUUGUUGUAUAUAUAAAAUGUAAAUUGAGAAAUGCAGGGGCUUAUAAUGGCUUGAAUUCCAGGAGUCUCUCCCUCUUUUUGCUGAGCCCUGUGUGUUUAAGGGACUUGCUGGCUUUUUGUGGUCUCUAGAAGUUGUUAAAUGAGUUAAAAAAACCUGUAAAAACCUUCCACCAAAUCAUCUUGCUUAUUUGCAAGGAUCAAGGAAGGAUUUUGUUUGUUUAUUUUUUUGAGAGAUGGAUUGAAAGAUUUUGAAAGGCAAUCAGAAGGGUUUGGAGUACUGAGGAGAUCCUUGAUAGCUGAUAGUUCAAGAAAAUGCUUCAUCAAACAGGGCUGGCAGGCAUCUCUUCACUCCUUUGAACCUUCAGUGUUGAUAAGGAGGUUUUAAAAGUUGUUAUUUGUAGGAAAAUUUGAUUUUCAUGUAUCUGAUUUAUAAGUAGGGGAUUUUCAGUAUGGGGCAUAUAAUAGUAAAUGACUAUGUCUUUAUUUGAACGAAGGACUAACAUCAAAUUCAUUACGAUCUGCCUCUCAGCAAUUUUGUUCACAAAUCCAAUGGAAAAAAAUAUUCUCUGGAGUCACUUAGAAAACUGUCAGUAGUAGAUUGCAUGUGUAUGUGUGAAACCAGCAGACUAUUCACUGGAACUUUGUAAUUAAUGAUCAAAUAUUUUGAAAGAUCUUGUUAGUAGCAAUCCAAGUAGAAAUGGAGAAAAAGACGAUGUGUCCGUAUUUCACCAGCAAGGCAGAUUGUGACUUUACAGAGCAUUAAGAUGUUUCAAGUUCUAAGUUUUUUCUUGGAUGAUGAAAAUGACUGAACCCUGGAAUACUUCACCAAAGGCUACUUUUAUCAAACAGAGAAGAAACAAGAGAAGGCUGACCUCUCUCUUUGCUUACAGAAAGUUUUAUAUUUUCUAGGAUUAUAUAUUUAGAACACCUUAUACAACAGGCCAGGUACUAACAUUAUGAAGUCACCAAGUGUACAUGUAUAGUGUUUCCAGACAACAGCAAGAGGUGGACUAGUUUUUUUGGAGACCAAAUCAGUAAUUGAAAACUGACCUUUCCCUCUCUCACUCCCUUUCCCUCCUAGACAAUGGCAGAGGGUCUGACGGUUGGAGGCAGAAACCCCCAAACAAACUGCUGUUAUCUGAUAGAAAUAACCAGAAAAGAUACAAUUUUGUCUGGUAACUUACAAACCUAACAUACUUCAGUCAUUUAGUCACUUACUUCUUCCAUCACACUCUUAUCUCUGUUUUAUUAUGCUUUGUCUUUUUCACAAGCCAUUCUGGGUCUAAGUCUGUAACAUAUUUCCCUUGGUUUAACAAGAUAAUUCUUUUUCUGCAAAUACCUGCAUAGGGCAUCUUGUCCUUCUAUGUGACAAUACUUACAAAAAAAAUUUUUUUUCCUUAGAAGACCAUGCUAAAUAGAUCCAUAAAAUUUAAGCUGAAGCCUUCUCAUCUACUUGCUGAAUGUACGUAUUUAAUCUACAAGACGAGCAGAACCUGGGAUGUGAAUAGCAAAGCAGAAUUUGACCUUCAUUUUUUUAGUUAUUACUGAACAUGUGUGAUGUGAGAACAUUGAGAUCCUCUGCCAUUCAUUAUAGCAAAUGUCAAGUGGGUGUUGUGUGGAACUGAGAGAGACCAAUCUUGAGAGAACAUCCGCCUUCAAUAAGUGGAACUCCAGAUUACACAAAGCUGCAGGCAUAAAAGCAGCUACGAAAGAAAGUUCACUCUGAAAAUGAAACAAUUUUCUCUAGAAAAAUGAACAUGAAAGUUAAACAGCUAUCCUCACCCUUGCCUGGAAGAUCUGAGAAAGAAGGUGGAGAGAAAAGUAUCCACUCUUUGGUCUCCGCAUGGGUGACAAUCACUGUAGGUGGGGGACCACUAUACCAACUAAUAGAAGUGCCUGAAAAUGUUCCCAGGCUCUGCUGCUGGGCCAGAAAAAAAAACAUGUUCCUGCUAAUAAAUUCCAUCAUUCUCUGUAACAAGAUGGCUGUGUGAAAAAGUGCCUGUUGGAAAUGAUCCUGGGAAUAUUUAUACUCCCAAGCUGGUUUGGGAUUUUUUUGUAUGAGUGCUGGAUGGCAUGUGUGCCAAAAGUGUGCCAGGAAAUAGUUUGACAAUUUAGGAAUUGCCUAGAUUAGGAAAAAGGCCCAAUAAGAACAGAUCCAUGGCAGAAAACAUCUGGUGUUGAGGAUCACAUCCACAUUGACAUUCAAAGUCUUUGUAUUUCAGAGAGUUUUACUGUUUCCUAGCUCUAGCCCACUCCCGCAGACAGAAUGUCCAUUAGCAGUCAAAGUGCAUUAGAUGCCCUCUGAGACUGCUCCUCCAGGUUUAUUUUUAUCUGAAAGGAAUUCAUUUUGCACAUUCCAAACAUGAUGUGAACCAAAGUGCAGGAAGUGAGAACUACUGGGAGAUUUGCUUCAGUAGUGCAUCCUGAUCUGAACUAUAAUGCUACCUCACAUACACUCAGAGGCAACUGCGUCUCUCUGUUUGAGAACAUUCCCAAUCACAGUUUAAUUCACCAGUUCAUCCAGUUCAAUUGUACAUAAAAAUUGUGUGAGGCUUUGGCAUGCUAAGUGGAAAUUGGAUUUAAAAUUUUAUUGCUAAAAUUGAGUAAAUCUCUACUGAAUGUUUGAACUGUCAUUCUUAGAGUGCCUAGAAUAAAUUUGGGAAAGUUUGCAAGUGGAUGCAAAAAACACAACUGUUAUAUAUAGACUGUGUACAUGAAGUGUUUUAACUGUGUCUCGCUAGUGUAUCUGAGAAAAGAGGAGGGAGAGAGAGAGAGUGUCUGAAUGUUAAAGGGAAAGAGAAAGGCCUAAAGAGUAUUUCUUCUUCUUAUAGAUUAGAAAAAUCUUCACAGUAAAUUUACAGCCAAAAUUUCCAGCCCUGACUAAAACAAGUGAUGUUUGGCAUGCUGUAUCUGCAGGUCAUGAGCUUUAAUUACAUCACAUUAUCUUUCACUGUAAGAUCUGGACUGCAGAUGCCUUUAGGUUGGAAUCCAAACUGAUAAGGAGCUUUUUAUCACUACACAGUACAUCAGACAUAGUUUGUAAGGAACAGAUAGUCAUCUGCUCUACCAACCUGCCUAUUCUAGUUGAAGUUGCCUCCAGGGAAUAGAUAGCAGAAACUUUACAUUUAGAACACUUAAAAAGAAAGAUUCCUGGAAAAUGUGAUGGCAUAAGUGGUAUUUAAAGAAAAGCUGUGUAAUAUAACACCUAAAUAAUUUUAUAGUCCUACUGCUAUUUUAGUAUGCUGGUAGGAUAUCUGAACCACUUGCUCUUGACUUGUACCUUGUUAGUAAUGAUGUUAUGCAUAAUGCAGCAAAGGAAUUCUUCAUUCCUGAGCAAGGGAACAGAAGUGAACAGAAGUGCCUUUUACAACUCAUCUCUUAUGGAUCAAAGGAAACGUCAAGCUUGCCUUAUCAUGUAAGCGAGUUUAGCGUCCUUGAGCUUACAUGAUAUGGGCUAAGUUACACAUAUUUAAGCCCAUAGUUUUUACUAUGUUUGCAUUAACUGAAAUUGUAUGUUUAUGGAUUGUACAGGCUUGAUUUCUGCUGGUAGUUAGAUGUUCAGUGUGUCUAUUAAAAUUACAUAUUUUCAGGACUUACUGUGAAAUAUAUGCAGAAAUUAUUAAAAAAUAUGAAGAUAUUUAUUUUGGGCUAAAAUAAUCUAAAAA